AGCCCUCCUCGACGGAUAAAAUAAGACUAUGCCGAAGGGAUCAUCUCCCUUUUCCCAUACCUGGCAGAUCCCAUGAGCAAACUGGGUUAUGUAUGUGGCCGUUAUCUCAAGUGUCUUGAUUCAGACGAGUGUUGCAUGUUCCAUGAGUGUUGGAUGCAUAACAUUAGUCCAGCAAUAUAUAACUUAUCUGUGUCUGUGAUAUGUCCAUAGGAGCAUUAUUACAAUGCAGAAGAUGGAAGUGGAUACCUGGCCUGGAGAAUAAAAACACUUCAGAAGGAAGCAUCGGAGGGACGACCUAAGCGCUCAAGGCAAUCACAAACAGGUGGACCAAGAUAUGAUGAUAUGCUAGCCAUUAUCCCACGGUUCAUGGACAUACCAGGCCUGAUCGAUCAAGAUUUUAGACUUCUUUUUGGAGAUUCAACCUCUGCAAAGCUAUUGGAGAAGUGGUCUACCAACAUAAAACCAAAGGUCAUCGCACAGAGCCGUGACCUCACACAGACUGAGGAGGUAAAAUAUCUCACCCAGAAUGCCGUUGCCACUGAAGUUGAAGGAGGUAACUAUAUUGGCCCAUAGUUAUUUCAAUGGAAUUGAUUAAUUACUGAGAAAUUAAGGGUACUGCAGAUGUUUAAUGCAUUAUACUGGUUAUUCAUCCGUAAUUGGUAGGUUAAAGUAAAUAGGAGGAGGUCUUCAAACUUAUCAAACUGAAACCUAAAAAUGCCUAUUUUAUUUUGUUGUCUGUGUCGCCAGGUUGGGACAGUGACAUGUCUUCCCUUCUCCUGCUGGUUCACUGAUGCUGGUUUUGCCGCCCUCCAGUCAAGGCCGCAAGCGACCGGGAAAGAUUUCAGCCAGACAAGCAUGUGACUGUCUUGUGAAAUUCAUCAAGGGGAACCAUUAAAGCAGAUUAAACACGUCCUUAGAAGUAAAGAUACUUGUGUUUGUUGUUCUCAUCAUGCCUGAGUCCCAUAUGUAUUUGAAUCAAGGUUGUAAUGUGAUAAACCUGUCCAUAUCCAGGCUGCUAACUACGUUAGGUUACGUUGCUGUUAGACGAUUUACGUUUCUCUUUGUCUCUCUCAGACUGGUACCAGCAUUCAGGGACACCUGGAUUUCAUUGUACGAAGUCUCGAACCAUAUCUGCUAGCAGUUGGGCCAAAGAAAAGUAGGAUCCAGUCUUACUUCAUAGUCAUUGACCAACACGCUUUGCCCUGUAAAGCCUCAAAUUCGCUGGCUGCUGUUGAUGAGCUUUUAACGCUCACUACGUUUUUGGCACUACAUACUGUUAGGAGUUGACAAACCUGUACACUUUCCUGCAAACAACUGUGUUUGACAUAGAUGCUGUAACCACAGAAGUAAAUCCAAGAGUGUCUGAGCUGAGGGCCAAAAUGCUACAGUGAGCAAGAUUAUAUGCUUUAUGUGUAAAAGGUGGCAUGCCAAUGCACAUAUUAGACACUUUAAAUUAGGAAAGGGUCUCAAGUUAAAAUGUGCUCAUAGAGGUUGUUCUCACGUUUAUCAAAGUUUUUCUGGAUUACGAAAGCAUCUAAUCAAGUGUUGUGCAAAUGACAAUUUAUGUUUUGAUGAUGGUGAAUGUUCCACAACCAACAAUUCCAUUUCAUUAGGGGAUACAGAUGUUUUGCCCACUCAGAGUUUGCCAUGUGACACUGUACUGUUCAGUUGUGCAACAAUGCUCGCAAAACUUAAAGUUGCUGGGGUUGCAGAGGCAACUAUUAACUAUGUUGUAAGCGCCGUACAAGAAGUGCUCAGAGACAUACAUAGUCACACUCAAGAAGCUCUAAAAAAUAUGAGUGUGUUGAGAAGGUGAUUAAUCCUUUUGUUACAUUAAACAAUGAGAGCAAGAGAAUGGUCUAUUUUUCUGAGAAAUGGAGGAAGAUAGAUCCAGUUGAACUUGUUCUUGGAACAAGAUUUGCUACACGACUUAACAGAACAACUAGAACUUUUCUACAAACCACUGUCAAAGAUAAAUGUAUAUACAUACCAAUUCUUGAAACGCUGAAGUCCAUUUACAAUCACCCAAAUAUCAAGAUAUGUUGAUUAGAGAUCCUAAACAAAGUCAUCAUUUACUAUAUGACAUACAGGAUGGAGAAUUCUUUAAGGAUCAUCCGCUCUUCUCAAAACAAGAGCAUGCUAUACAGAUCCACCUUGUUUUUGACGAAUUUGAGUGUUGUAACCCCCUUGGAUCGAAAAGAGGAAUCCAUAAUUCAUGAGCCUUCAAUUUUACCUUCAGAAAUGUUUCACCUAAAUACAAUUCAAGUUUGCUAGAUAUCCAUUUGGCUGCUUUGUUUCAUGCAUAAGAUAUUAAAACAUAUGGGUUUGAGAAAAUACUAGCGCCACUUGUCCAAGAUGUCUCAGCUCUUGAAACAAAUGGAAUUCAGAUUCCUCUAUUUGAUCAUACCGUUUAUGGAACAAUAAUACAAGUUACUGGAGACAACCUUGGUAUUCAUUCUUUAUUUGGUUUUGUGGGAUCCUUUAGUGCUAGAUACUGUUGCCGCUUUUGCCUAUUAGAGAAGUAGGACUAUCAGACUGAAUUCACUGAAGAUAGUUCAAAGAUGUCAUUUCGAAGUAAAGAGCUUCAUGUUGAAUACUGCCAGACAAUGCAGAGCAAUCCCACUUUACCUUAUGUGAUGGGAGUAAAAAAAUAUUGACCUUUGAAUUCAUUGCAAUAUUUUCACACAACAGCAAACUU